UACGUAGGGGGCGAGCGUUGUCCGGAAUUAUUGGGCGUAAAGAGCGUGUAGGCGGUUCGGUAAGUCUGCCGUGAAAACCUGGGGCUCAACCCCGGGCGUGCGGUGGAUACUGCCGGGCUAGAGGGUGGUAGAGGCGAGUGGAAUUCCCGGUGUAGCGGUGAAAUGCGCAGAUAUCGGGAGGAACACCAAUGGCGAAGGCGGCGACCUGGGCCAAUAUUGACGCUGAGGUGCGAAAGCGUGGGGAGCAAACAGG
rnacentral:rRNA from 1 species